GAUGAACGCUGGCGGCGUGCCUAAUACAUGCAAGUCGAGCGAACAGACGAGGAGCUUGCUCCUCUGACGUUAGCGGCGGACGGGUGAGUAACACGUGGAUAACCUACCUAUAAGACUGGGAUAACUUCGGGAAACCGGAGCUAAUACCGGAUAAUAUAUUGAACCGCAUGGUUCAAUAGUGAAAGACGGUUUUGCUGUCACUUAUAGAUGGAUCCGCGCCGCAUUAGCUAGUUGGUAAGGUAACGGCUUACCAAGGCAACGAUGCGUAGCCGACCUGAGAGGGUGAUCGGCCACACUGGAACUGGGACACGGUCCAGACUCCUACGGGAGGCAGCAGUAGGGAAUCUUCCGCAAUGGGCGAAGGCUUGACGGAGCAACGCCGCGUGAGUGAUGAAGGUCUUCGGAUCGUAAAACUCUGUUAUUAGGGAAGAACAAAUGUGUAAGUAACUAUGCACGUCUUGACGGUACCUAAUCAGAAAGCCACGGCUAACUACGUG
rnacentral:rRNA from 1 species